AAGGAGAAGGGGAUCCCGGAGUGAAGUGAGCGAGGAAACGCCCAGGAACGCCAGGAGUCAGCGGCGAUGGCGCAGCCUGGAACCGACAGGCGUGCCCGGCGGGAAGCGGCCGAUCGCAGUCAGGCCUCCCGCAUCAGGCGGGUCAGAAUGGGGCUCACAGCUUUCCAGACAACCCUACGUGAAGCAACAAUGGAAGCAGACGCAGUUUAACAACAAAGCAUUUC
ensembl:misc_RNA